AGAACGAACGCUGGCGGCAUGCCUAAUACAUGCAAGUCGAACGAACACUUCGGUGUUAGUGGCGCACGGGUGCGUAACGCGUGGGAAUCUGCCCUUGGGUUCGGAAUAACAGUUGGAAACGACUGCUAAUACCGGAUGAUAUCGAAAGAUCAAAGAUUUAUCGCCCAGGGAUGAGCCCGUGUAGGAUUAGCUAGUUGGUGAGGUAAAGGCUCACCAAGGCGACGAUCCUUAGCUGGUCUAAGAGGAUGAUCAGCCACACUGGGACUGAGACACGGCCCAGGACUCCGUACGGGAGGCAGCAGUAGGGAAUAU
rnacentral:rRNA from 1 species